rnacentral:rRNA from 1 species
AAAGCUUUGCUAAUACCGCAUACGAUCUACGGAUGAAAGCAGGGGACCGCAAGGCCUUGCGCGAACGGAGCGGCCGAUGGCAGAUUAGGUAGUUGGUGGGAUAAAAGCUUACCAAGCCGACGAUCUGUAGCUGGUCUGAGAGGACGACCAGCCACACUGGGACUGAGACACGGCCCAGACUCCUACGGGAGGCAGCAGUGGGGAAUUUUGGACAAUGGGCGAAAGCCUGAUCCAGCCAUGCCGCGUGCAGGAUGAAGGCCUUCGGGUUGUAAACUGCUUUUGUACGGAACGAAAAGACUCUGGUUAAUACCUGGGGUCCAUGACGGUACCGUAAGAAUAAGCACCGGCUAACUACGUGCCAGCAGCCGCGGUAAUACGUAGGGUGCAAGCGUUAAUCGGAAUUACUGGGCGUAAAGCGUGCGCAGGCGGUUAUAUAAGACAGAUGUGAAAUCCCCGGGCUCAACCUGGGAACUGCAUUUGUGACUGUAUAGCUAGAGUACGGCAGAGGGGGAUGGAAUUCCGCGUGUAGCGGUGAAAUGCGUAGAGAUNCUGGAGGAAUACCGAUGGCGAAGGCAGNCCAUCUGGNCCUAAUACUGACGCUGAGGUACGAAAGCAUGGGGAGCAAACGGGAUUAGAUACCCUGGUAGUCCAUGCCGUAAACGAUGUCUACUAGCCAUUGNNGGGCCUUUGAGNGNCUUUAGUGGCGCAGCUAACGCGAUNAAGUAGACCGCCUGGGGAGUACGGUCGCAAGACUAAAACUCAAAUGAAUUGACGGGGACCCGCACAAGCGGUGGAUGAUGUGGUUUAAUUCGAUGCAACGCGAAAAACCUUACCCACCUUUGACAUGUACGGAAUCCUUUAGAGAUAGAGGAGUGCUCGAAAGAGAGCCGUAACACAGGUGCUGCGUGGCUGUCGUCAGCUCGUGUCGUGAGAUGUUGGGUUAAGUCCCGCAACGAGCGCAACCCUUGCCAUUAGUUGCUACGAAAGGGCACUCUAAUGGGACUGCCGGUGACAAACCGGAGGAAGGUGGGGAUGACGUCAAGUCCUCAUGGCCCUUAUAGGUGGGGCUACACACGUCAUACAAUGGCUGGUACAGAGGGUUGCCAACCCGCGAGGGGGAGCUAAUCCCAUAGAGCCAGUCGUAGUCCGGAUCGCAGUCUGCAACUCGACUGCGUGAAGUCGGAAUCGCUAGUAAUCGCGGAUCAGAAUGUCGCGGUGAAUACGUUCCCGGGUCUUGUACACACC